UUUAGAUGUAAAUUUUCGUAUAAUAGGAAUAUUAGAGAGACUUGAAAUUAAAAAUUUUUGGCGGUAUUUUAGUCUUUUCAGAGGAACCUGUUUGUUAAUGGAUAAUCCACAUUUUGAGUGACUUAAAUUAUUAAUUUGCAUAUCGUUGUUAUCGAUAAUUUUAAAAGAAUAGAAUUUUCAAAAAAUAUUAGUUUAUAGGAAAUCAGAUCAAGGUGUAGUGAAUAUUUAAGAGUAAAUGGGUUACAAUUUUUUUAUAAUUGAAUUUUGUUAUUAAAUUAACAAAUAAAAAUGGAUUUGAAAGUAAAUUAAGUUAAUUUACUUUAUUGAUUUAGGCACUAAAAUAUGU
rnacentral:rRNA from 1 species